GCGGAAUUCGUAUAGUGGUAGUACACGUCCUUGCCAAGGACGAGGCGCCGGUCCGAUUCCGGUAUUCCGCUCAA
rnacentral:tRNA from 1 species